rnacentral:rRNA from 1 species
UACGUAGGGUGCAAGCGUUACUCGGAAUUACUGGGCGUAAAGCGUGCGCAGGCGGCUUUGCAAGACAGAUGUGAAAUCCCCGGGCUUAACCUGGGAACUGCAUUUGUGACUGCAUGGCUGGAGUGCGGCAGAGGGGGAUGGAAUUCCGCGUGUAGCAGUGAAAUGCGUAGAUAUGCGGAGGAACACUGAUGGCGAAGGCAAUCCCCUGGGCCUGCACUGACGCUCAUGCACGAAAGCGUGGGGAGCAAACAGG